rnacentral:rRNA from 1 species
AACGAACGCUGGCGGCAUGCCUAACACAUGCAAGUCGAACGAGACCUUCGGGUCUAGUGGCGCACGGGUGCGUAACGCGUGGGAACCUGCCCUUAGGUUCGGAAUAACUCCCCGAAAGGGGUGCUAAUACCGGAUAAUGUCUUCGGACCAAAGAUUUAUCGCCUUUGGAUGGGCCCGCGUUGGAUUAGCUAGUUGGUAGGGUAAAAGCCUACCAAGGCGACGAUCCAUAGCUGGUCUGAGAGGAUGAUCAGCCACACUGGGACUGAGACACGGCCCAGACUCCUACGGGAGGCAGCAGUGGGGAAUAUUGGACAAUGGGCGAAAGCCUGAUCCAGCAAGGCCGCGUGAGUGAUGAAGGCCUUAGGGUUGUAAAGCUCGUUUACCCGGGAUGAUAAUGACAGUACCGGGAGAAUAAGCUCCGGCUAACUCCGUG